rnacentral:rRNA from 1 species
UACAGAGGCCUCGAGCGUUAGGCGGAAUCACUGGGCUUAAAGCGUGUGUAGGCGGACUUCUAAGUGCCUUGUGAAAUCCUACGGCUCACCCGUGGAACUGCUGGGCAUACUGGGAGUCUUGAGCCACCUAGGGGCGAGCGGAACAAAUGGUGGAGCGGUGAAAUGCGUAGAUAUCAUUUGGAACGCCAACGGAGAAAUCAGCUCGCUGGGGGUGUGCUGACGCUGAGGCACGAAAGCCAGGGGAGCGAACGGG